rnacentral:rRNA from 1 species
GACGAACGCUGGCGGCGUGCCUAACACAUGCAAGUCGAGCGAAUGAAGUUCCUUCGGGAAUGGAUUUAGCGGCGGACGGGUGAGUAACACGUGGGCAACCUGCCUCAUAGAGGGGAAUAGCCUUCCGAAAGGGAGAUUAAUACCGCAUAAGAUUGUAGUAUCGCAUGAUACAGCAAUUAAAGGAGCAAUCCGCUAUGAGAUGGGCCCGCGGCGCAUUAGGUAGUUGGUGAGGUAACGGCUCACCAAGGCGACGAUGCGUAGCCGACCUGAGAGGGUGAUCGGCCACAUUGGGACUGAGACACGGCCCAGACUCCUACGGGAAGCAGCAGUGGGGAAUAUUGCACAAUGGGGGAAACCCUGAUGCAGCAACGCCGCGUGAGUGAUGACGGCCUUCGGGUUGUAAAGCUCUGUCUUCAGGGACGAUAAUGACGGUACCUGAGGAGGAAGCCACGGCUAACUACGUG